UCACCUCCGCAGGCUGCCGGCCCCCAGGCUGGGCUGGGCAAGUAUCUCUUUGAGAGGCUCAGCCUCAAGCACCACAAGGAGC
rnacentral:pre_miRNA from 1 species